GAGCUCUGGGACGCGCCCAACUUGGAAAGCGUCUCGCUCGCCCCGGCGCGCGCUACUUCUCGGGCGAGCACCCGGCGCUGGGGCACAUGCUGCCCCCGCCCCUGCGCGCCUGCGGCUCCCGCUCUCCCUCCCUGCGCUGCGCUCUCGCCUAGCUUUCCGCGGGAGCCUUCCCACCGGUCGUCGGCCGGGGAGAAGGACAAGGAGCGGUGGGGAAAGCGAGGGUGUAGGGAGGGAAGUUAGGGCUUCCGCUUUCUCCCCCGACUCCAGCGGCGGCGUUCAGUCCUCUGGGUGGGAUGUGUUCGUAGCAGCAGUAGCGGCGGCGGCAGCACGGAAGGCGCCCGAGCCAUACACUCUGCAGCCGGAGAGGAGAGGAUGGCCAAGGAGGGAAAGACUACAGUCCCAGGGCCGCGAAGCUGCGACGCGGAUCUGUCCUGGAGAAGCCUUCUCCUCCACCCUGGAUACUUUAGGCAACGGUGGCGGCAAACGGCGUGAGGCUGCAGACAGGACCACGACCCUCUCUCAUUCCAAUAUUGCUUUGCCCUCCGGAGAUGACAAGUGAGGAAGAAGUGUCCGGCCGGGCCAUCCCCUUCAGGUAGAUGAAGCUCUGGGUCUGCUCCAUACCCCCAGGGGGAGAGCCGAAGUGCG